AGUGGCAGACNGGUGAGUAAUGUAUAGGAAUCUACCUAGUAGUACGGAAUAAUUGUUGGAAACGGCAACUAAUACCGUAUACGCCCUACGGGGGAAAAAUUUAUUGCUAUUAGAUGAGCCUAUAUUAGAUUAGUUAGUUGGUGAGGUAAAGGCUUACCAAGACAAUGAUCUAUAGCUGAUCUGAGAGGAUGAUCAGCCACACUGGAACUGAGAUACGGUCCAGACUCCUACGGGAGGCAGCAGUGGGGAAUAUUGGACAAUGGGCGAAAGCCUGAUCCAGCCAUGCCGCAUGAGUGAAGAAGGCCUUCGGGUUGUAAAGCUCUUUUAGUGAGGAAGAUAAUGACGGUACUCACAGAAGAAGUCCUGGCUAACUCCGUGCCAGCAGCCGCGGUAAUACGGAGAGGGCUA
rnacentral:rRNA from 2 species